rnacentral:lncRNA from 1 species
UUUUUUUUUUCCUUGCUUCUGAAAUAAAGCCUGCAUGAGAGCCAAAAUUUAGUAGAAUAUUUGCUCUGCCAUAGUGCCAUAGUGCUGUUUGUUGAAAAACAUUUGCUUAUCAGGCAUUUAUUUUCCAUGCUUAGAUUAAUAUAUUGCUGAAUAGCCACAGACACUUAAUUUUUAUGUCUGCAUUUUAGAAUUGUUGUGGCUUAUAAAUUUACCUUUAUAAAUAUAAAUAAUUUCCUAAUAUCGAAAUGAUUAUAAUUAAAACCAAGGUUAAAAAUAAUAUUGAUGUAUUUAUUAGUCAAGUACUAAUAAUGAAGAGAACACUCGUCUUAAUAUUUCCUUUCCCUUCUAGAUUCUGACUGUGGUUUUGAAAACCAUUACCUUGGAAACAGUUGCUGUGAAACACUACCCUUUGAAUCUAAGAAGGGGCCACUCAUGUGCCCCCACCAAUGGCUUCCUUGAGGUGACGUUAUCUGUGUAGACCAGCACCAUCUAAUAGAAAUUUUGCUAAUGAUCAAAUGUUCUCUCUUCGUACUGUCCAAUCUGGUGGACAUUAGACCAUUGUGCACUUGACAUGUGGCUAGUGAGACUAAGGAAAUGAAUUUUAAACUUUAAUUUUAAUGAGUUUAAGUUUAAAUGAUCAUAAGUGAAUAGUGCCCAUCAUAUUGAACAGUGUCAUCCCCCCAUUCUCACAUGCUUCCAACAGCAAUUUCCAUCCAAGGGGCCUGGAACUUUUUUCACCAACAACAAUUAGUAGUCAAUCAUUUUUCUUCACUAUCUCAAUGUCCUUAGCACCUGGAAUCAUGCAUUCUGAUAGGUGGCUUUUCAACAAGUGCUUGUGUUGGAAUCAGACAGUUCUUUUCAAUAUUUUAAGAAAAAAGCUGCCUCCCACACUUGAAAAAGAUCUUUGACUGACGUAUGUCUGGGGCAGCACAUUUCCCUGGGGCCCCCUUUUGCAUCCGGACUACUCUUUGUUUCUUUCUUUACAACAUUCACCAGUAGUAACAGCUGUAUUUGUUGAAGAGCUGCUAUGUUAUGAGAAAGGAGAACAGUCCCUGUAUGUAAAUUUCCUAAUUUCCAUAACAACCCUAUAAAUUAGAUAUCGUAUCUCCAAUCUGGGGGGAGAAAAUCAGAGAUUUAAGUAACUUAGCCAAACUCUAGCAACUGGUAAUUGGCAAAAUCAGGGCUUUCAUGUACUGUAUAUUCUCAUUCUCUCAUCCUACGUGAGCUGGAGAUUCUUAGUUUCGCCACUGACUAGCUGCCUGGCCUUGGGACGUCAUUUAUUCUCCCUGACCUUCAGUUUCCAAACCUGGAAAAUGAGGAAUUAACAACGGAUGCCUCCAGGGCAGAUGGGGAGUUAGCCUGAGGCUUUAUGAGAGCCCUCCAGGUGCACAGGGGUGCAGGGCUUGCCUCCAGGGCUGUCUUCAAUUCCUUCCCUAUUCCUACUGGCCUGUGAACUUAUUUUUUCCUUGCUUUUUUUUUUUUAUUGUUAUUAUUGGUAAAAAUGCUCAGCUGAACAGAAUCUCAUCCAGCAGAUAUUUAGUGAGUCUCUGCUGUGAUCAGGAACCAUGCUGACUGUUGAACACAAUCAUCAGCUGAAUUCAAAUUCUAGAAACCUGAGUAUAUCCUUUUCUAGCUAACAUCUGUUGAGAGUUCACUACAGUUCAGCCCUUCUAAAUGCUUUACAUAUAUAACUCACACAAUCCUCAUAGUAACACUUUGUUAGCAGUGACUGUUAGGAUUCCCCACCACACAGUUGAGGAAACUGAGGCACAGAGAGGCUGAGCUACUUGCCAGAUGUGACACAACUUAUAAAUGAUGGAGCUGGAACUCUGAUCCAGUCAAGCUGGCUGCAAAGCCCCCACUCCUAACCGUAAGGCUCUAAGGCCCCCCCAUCCUUGUGUUUGCAGGUUAAUAGGAGGAAGUCAUCCUGGAACCAGGGCAGAAAGGAGCACUUUCAAGAGGUCCUCAAACAACUCCUUGAGUGUGGGACCCAGGAAAUUUAACAAAAAUCCCCUACCCCUGGACAAGCAGAGUAGGACUAACUCCAUUUUGGGCUACACCCGCCACCUCCCCUAUGACCCCCACACGACCUGCUUAUUGCUUAAGGCGCUGCCCCCCCUAGUCAGGCCGCUGGGCACACCCUCAUCGGAAAUCGGCUCAUAACAAUGUAACCCUGCUCUGUGCCCGCCAAAACUGCGCGCGGAUUCUGACCAAAGUAAUAGGCCAGGUCAAGUGGAUCCUAUAGGGUAAGGUGUAAUUCUAUCGGCCACCUGCGUGUGGACCGACAUGACUGUGCAACUUUCUGCGUAUCCCAUGGGCCACUGGCCCCUAUAAAGCUGCUACGCCUCUUAGUCUCGGGGUCCAAGUCCCUGCUCCGCUGUGUCGGGUGCACUUGGACCCAAGCCCAAGCUUGUAAAUAAACCCUCGUGUGACUGCAUCGGUGUCGGCUCCUCGGUGGUUUCUCGGAUUCGCAAUCUUGGGCACAACAUUGAGCACUGCCUGCAAACAAAACAUGCUGUAGGCUGGAUGGGGAUACAAAGAUGUGUAAGAGUUAUUCUCCACCCCCGGAAACUAGAUUGUAAGUCUAACAAAGAGCAUGAUUAAAAAGAACAUGCUUACUUGUAAAGCAAGAAAGGUGUGGUAAGUGCUAAAUUGCUGACAGUCCUAUGAACUUCACAGAGAAAUCAGUUCUUAUUCAGAAACAUUUGUGAUGGAGAGCGUGUCACCUGUGCCUUAAAAGAAGGAUGCGAUUUCAGUAGAUGGAGAAGAGGCAAAGAAGAGAACUUUCCCAGUAGACCAAAAGACAGGAGUCAUGGGAUGCAGGUGAGACACAGGGAGGCUUUUCUCUGACAGUCAGCAGGGGCUCCUCUUGCUGGGACCUGCAGCAUCUGUGGGAAUAAGUGACUUAGACAAAGGGGGGGGGUUGUAAAGAGGCAAAGGCCAUGGGCAGAACUGUGAGGACUGGCCACCCUCAUGGGGCAAGAGGAGCAGAGGGGCCACCCCCCUGGCAGGUAGAGGAGAGGAGGAGCAGGAGGUCCGGUGUCUCAGAAGUUGUGGGAGGAAGAGAGCGGAAAUAGCCAGGGAUCAAGAGUGCAAACAACAUAGAGACACCAAGAAAAGAUAAAAGCAGAAAAUAAGUUUUUGGCUUCAGUAUCUAGGAGAUGAUGGGUUGUUCUUCAAGGGGGCUGUUCCAAGGAAACAGCAAAAUGGGCCUGGACUGGUGAGUACUCAGUGAAGGUGGGAGGGCCAGGGGCUAGCCAUGGAGAGGGAGCUGCUAGCAUCAUCCCCAUGGAAACAGAGGCAGUGGCCCACCCUUUAAGCAGGAGGUGCAGAGAGGAAGGGUGGUAGUUGAAAAUAUGCAAAAAGGCAUCAAAGUAAUGGCUCAAGGAGACUCAAACAGGACACCCCACUAAAGAUAGCCAUGGCAAAAAGCGAACUAGCCUGGUGUGCAGCAAGCCUUUGAGGGCAGGCAGGCUUGAAAAUCUUAGUAAAGUUUGAGCAAAGGGUGUAACUGGUUCUGUCCCCUCUCUUGUCUCAAGAAUCCAGGCAAUUGCUCACUUUCUGAGAUUUUUCAGGGGCGACCUGUGGGAUGAUGGCAAAUGCCCAAGGGCUCCGCCCCAAUGUGAAGGCCCCACUCCUAGGGCCAAGGGCACCUGAGGCAACCGGGAUCCAGCUCCAGCCUCCUUGGGCAGGCUGUGCAUGUGAGUCAAGACCCCAGCUCAGCACAGGAAGCCAGUGGGGUAUCAGACCGGCACCUGGAGACAACCUGUCUCUCCAAAUCUGCUGGUCUUUUCUUCCUCUUCGGGGAGGUGCAGAGGCGUCCAUUCCAGUGUGCUUUAGACAUCAGUCUCUGCGCUGGGUUCCCUACCUAGCUUUCAGGAGGCCCUGCCAUCCCCAGCUCUCAGGCUCUACCCUGGGGUGUAGGGGAGUGUAGGGAAGGACCGCUGUCCCUCCUCCCUUUCGCUCUCUGCUUUCUGAGUGUCCACACCCCACACCUUGGGUCACUAUCCGCCAGUACAAUGAGGUGGGGUGGGGGGGUGUGCCCGUGCUGUCUUUCGCUUGUGUAGACGCCACACUGGUCUGCCCUCUCACAAGUCUGGGCUCUGCUGGACCAAAGAGGCGGACGCCCAGCUAAGAAUGGGUAGAAGCCUCGAGGGGCUUUCCGGGAACCCAGUUUCCAGCCCCCUGCGAGGUCCCGACCGACAUUCCCCACACCCAUCACUCUUUUCCGCCCAAAUUUAGAGGUCUCCGACUUUUAGGUCUUUGUGUAGAGUUCAACAGCGCCGCCCUCUGGCGCCAGGUUGUGAGUGAGCACAGAGCAGAGGCACAGGGCUUAAAAAAAAAAAAAAAAAAA